rnacentral:rRNA from 1 species
GAACGAACGAGUUACGUUAAGUAGCAAGGUUAAGCACUUAAGGUGUGGAGCCGUAGCGAAAGCGAGUUUUAACUGAGCGUUCAGUUACUUGACGUAGACCCGAAACCGGGCGACCUACCCAUGGGCAGGAUGAAGCGAAAGUAAAAUUUCGUGGAGGUCCGAACCCACGAGCGUUGAAAAGCUCGGGGAUGACUUGUGGGUAGCGGUGAAAUUCCAAUCGAGCCCGGAGAUAGCUGGUUCUCCCCGAAAUA